CCUACGGGAGUCAGCAGUGAGGAAUAUUGGUCAAUGGACGAGAGUCUGAACCAGCCAAGUAGCGUGAAGGAUGACUGCCCUAUGGGUUGUAAACUUCUUUUAUAUGGGAGUAAAAUGUUCCACGUGUGGGAUUUUGUAUGUACCAUAUGAAUAAGGAUCGGCUAACUCCGUGCCAGCAGCCGCGGUAAUACGGAGGAUCCGAGCGUUAUCCGGAUUUAUUGGGUUUAAAGGGAGCGUAGGUGGAUUGUUAAGUCAGUUGUGAAAGUUUGCGGCUCAACCGUAAAAUUGCAGUUGAAACUGGCAGUCUUGAGUACAGUAGAGGUGGGCGGAAUUCGUGGUGUAGCGGUGAAAUGCUUAGAUAUCACGAAGAACUCCGAUUGCGAAGGCAGUUCACUGGACUGCAACUGACACUGAGGCUCGAAAGUGUGGGUAUCAAACAGGAUUAGAUACCCGAGUAGUC
rnacentral:rRNA from 1 species